GACGAACGCUGGCGGCGUGCUUAACACAUGCAAGUCGAACGGAAAGGCCCUGCUUGCAGGGUACUCGAGUGGCGAACGGGUGAGUAACACGUGGGUGAUCUGCCCUGCACUUCGGGAUAAGCCUGGGAAACUGGGUCUAAUACCGGAUAGGAGCCAUUUUUAGUGUGAUGGUUGGAAAGUUUUUUCGGUGUAGGAUGAGCUCGCGGCCUAUCAGCUUGUUGGUGGGGUAAUGGCCUACCAAGGCGGCGACGGGUAGCCGGCCUGAGAGGGUGGACGGCCACCUUGGGACUGAGAUACGGCCCAGACUCCGACGGGAGGCAGCAGUGGGGAAUAUUGCACAAUGGGCGCAAGCCUGAUGCAGCGACGCCGCGUGGGGGAUGACGGCCUUCGGGUUGUAAACUCCUUUCGCUAGGGACGAAGCUUUUUGUGACGGUACCUAGAUAAGAAGCACCGGCUAACUACGUG
rnacentral:rRNA from 1 species